rnacentral:rRNA from 1 species
AUUGAACGCUGGCGGCAGGCUUAACACAUGCAAGUCGAGCGAGCGGCGGACGGGUGAGUAAUGUCUGGGAAACUGCCUGAUGGAGGGGGAUAACUACUGGAAACGGUAGCUAAUACCGCAUACCAUCAGAUGUGCCCAGAUGGGAUUAGCUAGUGGGGGGGGUAAUGGCUCACAAAGGCGACGAUCCCUAGCUGGCCUGAGAGGAUGACCCGCCACACUGGAACUGAGAAACGGCCCAGACUCCUACGGGAGGCAGCGGUGGGGAAUAUUGGACAAGGGGGGCAAGCCUGAUACAGCAAUGCCGCGGGUGGGAAGCAGGCCUUCGGGUGGUAAAGCACUUUCAGCGAGGAGGCGUUACUCGCAGAAGAAGCAACGGCUAACUCCGUGCCAGCAGCCGCGGUAAUUC